AUACGAAGGGGGCUAGCGUUGUUCGGAAUCACUGGGCGUAAAGCGCACGUAGGUGGAUCAAUCAGUUGAGGGUGAAAUCCCGGGGCUCAACCUCGGAACUGCCUUCAAUACUGUUGAUCUUGAGUCCGAGAGAGGUGAGUGGAAUUCCUAGUGUAGAGGUGAAAUUCGUAGAUAUUAGGAAGAACACCAGUGGCGAAGGCGGCUCACUGGCUCGGUACUGACGCUGAGGUGCGAAAGCGUGGGGAGCAAACAGGAUUAGAUACCCGAGUAGUCC
rnacentral:rRNA from 1 species